rnacentral:tRNA from 1 species
GGGGGUUUAGCUCAGUUGGUAGAGCGCCUGCUUUGCAAGCAGGAUGUCAGGAGUUCG